rnacentral:rRNA from 1 species
AGCCUUAGGAUAAUUAUCUAAGGUCAGACCUGCCCAAUGUGAAUAUUUAAUGAAUGGCCGCGGUACUUUGACCGUGCUAAGGUAGCGCAAUCAAUUGGCUUUUAAUUGGAGUCAGGUAUGAAAGGAGUCACGGAGUUUAACUGUCUCUUGGUUAUUAUAUUGAAAUUACUAUAUAGGUGAAAAAGCCUAUAAUGAGAAGAAGGACGAGAAGACCCUUAGAGUUUUACUAAAAUUGGAUUAAUACUUAAAAGUUUUCCAAAGCAGUUUUGUUGGGGCAACAUAGGAGCAGAGUAGAGACUAUAAUCUCCUAAAAACUACAAAUCGAUUAUACUAGAAUUGAAUAAACUACCUUAGGGAUAACAGCAUAAUUUUAAAGAUAAGUUUGUGACCUCGAUGUUGGACUAGGAAACUGAAAGGCUAGCCGCCUUUUAGGUAAGUUCUGUUCGAACUACUAAUUCC